UACGGGGGGUGCGAGCGUUGUCCGGAAUCACUGGGCGUAAAGGGCGCGUAGGUGGUUUGAUAAGGGUGUGGUGAAAGCCCGGAGCUCAACUCCGGGUCUGCCGUGCCGACUGUCAAACUCGAGGGCUGUAGAGGCAGACGGAAUUCCAGGUGUAGCGGUGAAAUGCGUAGAUAUCUGGAGGAAUACCGGUGGCGAAGGCGGCAUCCUGGACCGACAUUGACGCUGAACGACGAAAGCUAGGGGAGCAAACGGG
rnacentral:rRNA from 1 species